UUGGUUCCGGCAUCGAUGAAGAACGCAGCGAAAUGCGAUAACUAGUGUGAAUUGCAGAAUUCCGUGAAUCAUCGAGUCUUUGAACGCACAUUGCGCCCCCUGGUAUUCCGGGGGGCAUGCCUGUCCGAGCGUCAUUGCUGCCCAUCAAGCACGGCUUG
rnacentral:rRNA from 5 species